rnacentral:rRNA from 1 species
AAGAAACUAACCAGGAUGCCCUCAGUAAUGGCGAAUGAAGCGGGCGUAGCUCACGCUGCCAAUCCGGAGGCCUUUGCGCCCCCUGAAUUGUGGUCUAGAGAGGCGCCUUCGGGCGCGCGCGCCGCUCAAGUCCCUUGGAAGAGGGUAUCGGAGAGGGUGAGAAUCCCGUACCGUGGCCGCGCGCGCCCUCACGAUGCGUGCUCGUCGAGUCGGGUUGCUUGGGAUUGCAGCUUGAAGUGGGUGGUAAAUUCCAUCUAAAGCUAAAUAUUGGUGGGAGACCGAUAGCGUACAAGUACCGUGAGGGAAAGAUGCAAAGAACUUUGAAAAGAGAGUUAAAGAGUACCUGAAAUUGCUGAAACGGAAGCGAAGGAAACCAGUGUUUGUUGGUUCAUAUUUCCCUGGCCACUUGUGGUUUGGGCGCUGUGAGCUUGCGUGGGUUUGGGUUGGUUGAUCCCUUUGGAAGAGCGCAGUCAGAGUUGAUGUCUGUUGCUAGCACUGGGUUUGACUGAUGCAGACGAAAUGGUUUUCUUUACCCCGUCUUGUAACACGGACCAAGGAGUCUAAC